rnacentral:lncRNA from 1 species
AUGAGAUAUUUCAUGCUCGUAAGCUGCGUUUCGCUUCUAAACUGUUACAAAAACCCAAGAGACAAUGAAUUUGCACACAUACAUUUUAAACCUGAGUUUUCUUCCUUUUUUUUUUUUUUUUUGUAUGCAUGGAAAAACUACUACUUUUCUGAUUUGCUACCCCAUCUCUCUGACCUUGUUUUUAUUACUGUAGCAUACCUGCUCCCAAAUAAUUGCAAGUAUAUGCAAGAUCUAAUUUUAUUCCUUCUUUUUCUUACCAGCUGGAAAGCACGUAAUACUGCUGAAAAGAUGCAAAGAGAAGAUGCAAUUCUAUUAAGGUGUUCCAUCUAUGACUUUGCUGAGUUAUGCAAGUGCAAAGUCGAAACUAUUUCUCAGUAG